UGCCGCCAGCAGCGGCGUGUCGCCGAUUUCGUCUUUGCCGACAUCGAGCAAGUGCAGCGCCGGAAGUGUUGCGUUUUGCACUGCAUUUUCCUUGUGAUAUGGGAGAUCGCAACGCAGAGACGACCAGAUGCACACGAAAGACUACCAGCGGAGAGUGACCUGUGCCAUAUUUCUCUUAACCUCUCAGGUAUUCAAGAAAUGGCAACAUCCAGAAGAAGACGCCAUCUUAUCCAGCACGUUAUGGGUACACUCUGGUGGCUCCCGCCCCUGCAUCCUACGACCACCGUGUCCUCACUAUGUUCACUAGGGAGUUCGAAGCCUUUGGCGGCUCCUGCCACUGCGUCCUGCCACCACCGUGUCCUGGCUACGUCCACUAGGGAGUUGGCAGCCUUCGUGAUGAUGCCAAGCAGGCUGGAAGCUGACAGAACGAUCGAGGUUGCCUCGAAAUUUUACCCAAGCCGUGCCACACACUUGGGCCAGGCCUCUUGCAAACGACGUAUAACCAGGCUCAACGCAGGAUGUCGAGUGAGUCCGGAGAUCGAGGCAACCUGCUGUGCAACCAGCGUGCAACCUUUGGUGACCCUCAAUAUGUUCCACCUAUUUCACAGCUGCACUCAGCUUCCACCUAUCCAAACCGCAUCGCCAGCUGUGGUCACUCAUCGAACCAUGGAUGAAUGUUGGGGUGGAGUGAUUUGAAGAGACAUUUUUUUUGUCUCUUCAAAUCCUUAGCAAAUACUUGUGUUAUUAUAAUUAAUAUGUGUCUUUAGUGCCUAGUUUUUAAUGGUUCCUUUCUAUUAGAAUUCUCGCCAUCGAUUCCUGCUAUUAUAAUGUAUGUCUGUCUUUAUGCACAGUUUUUCAUAGUUCUUUUGUACUUGUCUAUGUAAUUGAUAGGUUCAUACUUCUUGUUAUACAGAAGGCUAAAAUGCAAACUUACGGCAUUUUUUUCUUCCUUUUGAUAAUCUACAGCACUGCAAAGUGUUCAAGAAAUGUAACCCAACGUGGGCUCUGGUGCAGGAAAAAUUUAAGAGCAAUAUAGAGUACUUAUUUCAAGCACCCAUUAUUUUUGGAAAAGUAAAGAAUAUAGGAGCACAAAAAAGAAAAUAUUAAACUAGAGAAACAUGAGUUCCCCUCAUAAGUCUGAUAAUAAUGUGACUUCCCUUCACUGCAAAGACACCAGUAAUAUACUCGCAUACAAGGUUUGAAACAAGAAAGCUAUGAUGCCCUUGGCAUUUCUCAGUGCCUAUUUGUCACACUGACGAAUGUCAAAGGCAUCGUAGGUUUCAUGUACACAUUGGUUGUGUUACACUUUUGAGUAUUGCAUUUCUCAAACACAAAGGUUUACAGCAGUGCUUUAAAUAGCAAAUGCAUUUCCUAAUUUAUUAGUGCAAGAGGAACAGUACAGAUCAUGUAAAAAUUUUUUUACAGACUAUAUGUCCAUGGAUGCACGCUUCUGAUGACAUAGCAGUGACGUGGUCGUGGGAUGAAUGACUUUAUUUCAGAUUUAAAUAUUGGCUUCCAAGUCUGGGUUAGUCUCCUACACUGAAUAGUCUAGGUCAGAGCUCAUUUACUAGAGAAAGUGAAUUAAACUAGGAAUUAUAAACAUCAAAAGAUCUUGUUUAGGAAAUUAAUGUGACAAUCAGCAAGGUUCUUUGGGUAUUCAUUUCCAAAUUUGUAGGAUAUAUUUUAUGACUGGUUUCAUUAUUGUGAGAACAAAUAUUUGUUUAUUGUCACACUAGAGUUGGCUGCCCCCAUUUGUAUACAACCCCUUUACAGGCUGAAAAUUCAGUGUGUUACCCUAUUUACUCGCAUAAUGAUCGCACUUUAUUGUAAAAAAAAUUGACUCAAAUUCAGAGGUGCGAUCAUUACGCUGGGUAAAUUUCCCACCAAAAGAAAAAAAUAUAUCCUCUGGCAUUUGCUACGGGAUGACAACAGGUCAACAAAGAGGUGGCUGCCUCUGUAUGUACUGCGGGACACACACACAAAACAAAAACAUGGUGGCCGGCAGAGCAAGCCGAACGCGCCGAACACGAUUUUUUUUUUCUUUUCGUGAGUACAUUACGUGCAUUCAAACAGUUUCUUCCGUAUCAGUAAUGAAUAAUAUCGGCAAGUUUGCGGCAAUAACAUAGCCAUGUCCACUUUGAGGGGACAGAAACAGAUGGGCGCGCUUAGCUGCCUGUGACAUAGGAACACAUGGCGGGCAUGCUGCGGAAACUGCGGCAUUUGUCUUCACCACUAUCCUAAUAUGGCACGUUUCCGCUAAGGGUGGGCGAAUAUCUUAGCUGCGUUACAAACGUCGGCGAAUGAAUAGGGUACACUUCUAACGUAUCACUGUAAACGUGGCUGCUAUCAUUGCCACUCGCGAUUUGUUGCGUGCCCACAAGUGCAGACGAGGAGAAACGAAAGACGCCUUUUUUGUUGUUUUUGUUGACCACAACCAUUACAAAGCCUACACAUAAUAAAGGCAAGUUUGGUUGUAGCUUUUUUUUGUCAUAUAAGUGCGGAAAGUGAUGGAAGGAAUGAAAUGGGGCAUCUGCUUAAGAAUGUUUGGUGCGUGCAGACUACUUGGUUUGUCUUGAAGAGUUGUUCUCAUAGCAGUUGACAGAUGGUAAGCGCGAUCAUUAUUAGCUAGACUUGGCACAUGACAUAUCGCUGCGGCAAGUUUGGGGUGCAAUCUUACACGA